GGCGAACGGGUGAGUAACACGUGGGUGAUCUGCCCUGCACUUCGGGAUAAGCCUGGGAGACUGGGUCUAAUACCGGAUAGGACGAUGGUUUGGAUGCCAUUGUGGAAAGUUUUUCGGUGUGGGAUGAGCUCGCGGCCUAUCAGCUUGUUGGUGGGGUAAUGGCCUACCAAGGCGUCGACGGGUAGCCGGCCUGAGAGAGUGUACGGCCACAUUGGGACUGAGAUACGGCCCAG
rnacentral:rRNA from 1 species